UGUUAGGAGAGAGAGGGAGUCGCUGUGGAGCCACGAGCUGCGCCGAUCGCCGCCGCAUCGCGUCGGAGAGGAAGGCUGAGACUGAGCGUCGCUGGGAGAGAGGACAACGCGAGCUGGAGGCCCGGUCGCCGCUGUGCUAUGGAGCAGACUGAACUAUGCCGCGCUGUUGGGGUUCUCACCGUCGUCGGAAAAGGAUUCAGGCUGCCGCAGGUGUCGCGGUCGGAGGAGGAAGUUGUGCCCCUGUGUUUUGACCGCCGGGAGUGGUUCUGUGACUUCUGGGAUUACCGCCGGAGCUCCGGGCUGAGCCUCUGCCGCUUGAGACCCUGCUGCUGUCGCCAGAAAAGUUGCCGGUAAGGGUUUUAUUUGAGGUUUCUGCCUUUUUGGAUUUCGAGAAGGUUUUAAUGUUGCGCGGUUUUUAUAGUUGAUCCACCGAAGCUUCUGGCCGCCGCCGGAGCUGUUGCCGGGGCCGGUUUGGAAUCGCAGCUGCCUUAUUGUUAUUUCGUGUUGCUAUGGUUAUUCCAAAAGUGGCUGGGAGCUGAGGCUUUAGUUCCCGUCAGUUCGGUUUGAGGCGGAAAGGACUUGAUGAGGCAUUUGGGCUAUGGUUUUGCGUUUUGAGGAUAUGGGCGCAGAAGUUACGAAGAGCUUAUUUAAUUGUUGUUGUGAUGCUCUGUAUUGUUUUAGU